GCCUGUAGGGCGCGGGCCAGCAGCUCCUGCAGGCGCGCGUCGGUCACGCAGGUGUGGUUGCUCAGGAAGUCCCGGCGCGCCGCUUCCAGCUCCGCCCGGAGAUCCUGCUCGUACGGCAGCUCGAUGGCGGAGAAGAUCCCCGCGCCGACGACCAGGUCGGAGAAAAGAACGUGCUCCUGAGAGAAGACAAACAGUCCCAGUCUGCCUCCAGCCAGGGUGUGGUCAUACACGGCCCCCGAGUCAGACAGAAUGUCCCUGCCCUCGUAGACCACCACCCUGCAACACAAGACACAGGUGAAUGAAGGGCAGCCGUCCCACUGUGAUCAAUGCAGGUCAGUCUGUAGUUGGGCCAGCCGUCCAGAUCAGAGUCUUCUCCACAUACGAAGCCAUCGCCAGCAAAGCCAACGGCACACCUACACUUGUAUAAGACCUCGGACGCCAGGCCAAGGAAUCUGCAGAGGAUGGUUACCUGGAGAUGAGCAAGCUGAUGGAACUCAAAAAAACAUCCACUUUCACUGGGAUCUCUCCUGCUCCAUGUUUGGUCUCCCUGCUGUGUCAAAAAGGCAUCACCAUAAUCCUGAAUCACUUUUUCCAUCUGUGGAAUCCACUUGUGGAAUAAUGAAUUUUACAGAUGUGUGCAUGCGUGCAAGGGCCCAUGUCCAUACGAACACACACACACACAGAAAUUU